rnacentral:rRNA from 1 species
UUCGGACCUCCAAUCAAGCAAGAGGACCCGCUGAAUUUAAGCAUAUAACUAAGCGAAGGAAAAGAAAG